UGGGGAAUCUUGGACAAUGGGGGCAACCCUGAUCCAGCCAUGCCGCGUGGGUGAAGAAGGCCUUAGGGUUGUAAAGCCCUUUCAGUCGUGACGAUGAUGACGGUAGCGACAGAAGAAGCCCCGGCUAACUCCGUGCCAGCAGCCGCGGUAAUACGGAGGGUGCGAGCGUUAAUCGGAAUUACUGGGCGUAAAGCGCACGUAGGUGGUUGUGUAAGUCGGAUGUGAAAGCCCAGGGCUUAACCUUGGAAUUGCAUCCGAUACUGCAUGACUAGAGUAUGGUAGAGGGAAGUGGAAUUUCCGGUGUAGCGGUGAAAUGCGUAGAUAUCGGAAGGAACACCAGUGGCGAAGGCGACUUCCUGGGCCAAUACUGACACUGAGGUGCGAAAGCGUGGGGAGCAAACAGGAUUAGAUACCCCCGUAGUCC
rnacentral:rRNA from 1 species